rnacentral:misc_RNA from 1 species
GGACGAGACCUAAAAUUUAUUAGUUUAUCAAUGUGCGGAUGCCUUUCUUUUGCUGCCCUUCUAUUGCUGGUUGUAAGCAAUAGGGGUUAUGGUUUGGUGGGCUGCUGGUGCGCGCUCGUCGGAUUUCAAUGGGCUCGGUUUGUUAACGCUCUUCGACGUGUCCUCUCUCCCAAUGGAGUGCUUUACUCCAGUGAUUUAAGCCAUUAUAAAGUAGCACAGCAGAAGGCUGCGUAGGUGACAGUUCAAGUUGUGCUGGCAGCUUGAAACAGU